GGAUACACGUACCAAAAAGCAAAGAUUCAAACGAAGUUGAUUUUCGUUGCCACCAAAACACAAUACCUCCAACUCCAAGGGCUUCAAUCUUGUUUUAUGUUCGCCAUCAUAUUCCUAGUAACUAAGAAAAGUUAAAGAAGAGAACCAAAGAUAAUAAAAAAUCAUUGACCUUCAAUUUAUCCUCAUAUAACCUCUCUAUUAUAUAAACACAACCCACAAAGCCUAAUGCCACACAAGGCCUUAUUAUCACAUUUCUGAGAACCGAGGAGCUCGUAGUUAAUCAAAAAUGGCCUUGAUCAUAUUCCUUGCUAUGUCUCUUCUCCUCCAUGGAGCCCUCGGUAAACCCAUUUCAAGAAUUUUUGCCAUUUUCUUUCUUUAUGUAAAUCUAUAAAACUAGUAACUUUUUUUCUUCCUUUGCGUGUGUUUUGUUUGAUGUAUUGUUCAGGUGAGCUUGUAUGUGAGCAAUUACCUGUUGAGCUCUGCUCAUAUUCAAUUGCAUCUUCUGGGAAGCGAUGCUUGUUAGAGAAUUUUGCAACGAAAGAUGGAAAGGUUAAAUACCAAUGCAAGACAUCAGAAGUGGUUGUGGAUGUAAUGCAGGAAUGGAUUGAGAGUGAUGAAUGUGUUAGUUCAUGUGGACUUGAUAGGAACACUGUGGGUAUCUCAUCAGAUGGUCUUCUUCAGCCUCAGUUUUUGGCUAAACUUUGCUCAGACGAUUGUUACCAAGGUUGCCCCAAUAUUGUUGAUCUCUACUUAAACUUGGCCUUGGCUGAAGGUAUUUCUUUUAGUUUCAAUUAGUAAAUAGUUCCUUUCUAAUUUCCAUUAUCAAAUCCAAUUACCAUCUCCAUAUAAAAAUAAGGAGGUUGUUUAUAUAAUAUUAAUCUGCAAGUUAAGAAGUUCAGAAACAUUACCAGCUUAAUGUCAUAUUUCAUUAAAAUAAAUAUUUUCUUAUAUUAAAUCAAAAUUCAGAUGUGAACUAAAAUUAUCAGUAAGAAGAUAAUAAUCUAAAUCCAAUGAUUAUGUCCAAAUUUACCAAUUACCAACAGCAUUGUUAUACAAUAACAUAAUCCAUUUUAUGUACUUACAGGAGUUAACUUGUCUGAGUUCUGUACCAAUCCUCGCCGUGCCUUGUCGGCGACUAGUAGUUCUGGUUAUGCAACCCCAGGUCCAGUCUCCGCCACAGAUUAUCCGGCUGCUGCUCCGAUCACUGGUGAUGCGGACCCAGCUUGUGCGCCUUCUGCCAUAUGAUGUUGUUGAUCAGUGUGGACUUAUUUAGGUCAUUAGUUGCUCAUAUUUGUAUGAAAGGAAAGGAGUGAUUUUCUAUUGUGACGUGCUUGUUUAAUUAAACUAAUUAAAAUUACUGCAAAUAAACGUUCGAUUCAUUAUUAGAAUAAUGAAUUGAACCUUUUUUUAAUAAAAAAAUUCCAAUUAUAUGCAAAACAUGAUCUCCAUGCAUUUGCAAAUUGUUUCUCUACAAUUACAAACAAGCCAAAAAUAAGUGGCUUUAACAUGUGUAAGCUUCUCUUGGUAAGGAGUUCCCAUACCCAUACCCAGCGGCAGAGGCAGAGAAUUAUUGGCCUGUGGAUUUUUGGUUUGAGUGUUGUGGAGUGCCGACAGACAAGGGUGGCCAGCUGAGGCUUAUGGCCAACUGGACAAGAUUGGCAGUAAAGUACAAGUGUUGUCAUUUUUCAGGCACUUCUUAUCUCAGUAAUGGCCUAACGUUAACCUCCCAGCAACUAUUCUCCUUUUUAUCUUUUGAUCUAACAGUCAACUUUUG
rnacentral:lncRNA from 1 species